rnacentral:rRNA from 1 species
CUACGGGGGGCUCCAGUGAGGAAUUUUGCGCAAUGGGGGAAACCCUGACGCAGCAACGCCGCGUGAGUGAUGAAGGCUUUCGGGUCGUAAAGCUCUGUCAAGUGGGAAGAACCUGAUCCAUACUAAUAUCGUGGAUCACCGACGGUACCACUGAAGGAAGCACCGGCUAACUCCGUGCCAGCAGCCGCGGUAAUACGGAGGGUGCAAGCGUUAUUCGGAAUCACUGGGCGUAAAGGGCGCGCAGGCGGUUUGGUAAGUCAGAUGUGAAAGCCCGGGGCUCAACCCCGGAAGUGCAUUUGAUACUGCCUAACUUGAGUAUGGGAGAGGGAAGUGGAAUUCCUGGUGUAGAGGUGAAAUUCGUAGAUAUCAGGAGGAACACCGGUGGCGAAGGCGACUUCCUGGACCAAUACUGACGCUGAGGCGCGAAGGCGUGGGGAGCAAACAGGAUUAGAUACCCCUGUAGUC